GUUUGAACCAAUGAUAGUAGGUUAUCAGAACAUAUUAGUGCCACCAAGUUGGUAUAUAACCCCCACUGCUAAAUUUGACUGGCUUAA
ensembl:misc_RNA Y_RNA Y RNA